rnacentral:rRNA from 1 species
GACAUAGGUGGCAAACGUUAUCCGGAUUUAUUGGGCGUAAAGGGUGCGUAGAUGGUCUAAUAAGUUACUGGUGGGAAAUCGAGGCUCAACCUCGUGGAAGUCAGUAAUACUGUUAGACUAGAGGACGGAGAGGUUAACGGAACUCCACAUGGAACGGUAAAAUGUGAAGAUAUGUGGAAGAACACCAAUAAAGGCGAAGGCAGUUAACUAUUCUGCUCCUGACAUUGAGGCACGAAAGCGUGGGGAGCAAAAAGG